CACGUAGGGGGCAAGCGUUGUCCGGAUUUAUUGGGCGUAAAGAGCUCGUAGGCGGUUCGGUAAGUCGGGUGUGAAACCUCCAGGCUCAACCUGGAGACGCCACCCGAUACUGCUGUGACUCGAGUCCGGUAGGGGAGCGUGGAAUUCCUGGUGUAGCGGUGAAAUGCGCAGAUAUCAGGAGGAACACCAGCGGCGAAGGCGGCACUCUGGGCCGAUACUGACGCUGAGGAGCGAAAGCGUGGGGAGCGAACAGG
rnacentral:rRNA from 1 species